AGAUGUCUUCCAUCUCUACUUAUCUGACUGCAGAGAGGAUGACAGAGAACAGUGGACACACAGUUUAACAUGAUGGACUAUAGGACAGGACUGCUGCUUUUAACUCUCUGCUGGGCAGGUGUUGAUGGUCAGACUCUGACAGAAUCUGAACCAGUGGUUAAAAGGCCUGGAGAAUCCCACACACUGACCUGUACAGCCUCUGGAUUCACACUCAGCAGCUACUAUAUGGCCUGGAUCAGACAGGCUCCUGGAAAAGGACUGGAGUGGCUUGCCAGGAUUGAUAGUGGCAGUGGCAGCUACAAAUACUACUCUCAGUCAGUCCAAGGCCGGUUUACCAUCUCCAGAGACAACAGCAGACAGCAGGUGUAUCUGCAGAUGAACAGUCUGAAGACUGAAGAUUCUGCUGUUUAUUAUUGUGCUCGAGAGUCACAGUGACUGAAGUUAGUUGAGCAGCUGUACAAAAUCCUACUGUACUGAUCUUCUGGGCUGACUCUGUUCCAAUAAACUCUGUGUACUCCUGGCCAGCAGCCACAGCCUGUCAUGUUAAACCAGGCCUUGCUGACAGAUGAUUGAUUUGAAGUGCCUCACCACAAAAAAACAAAACAAAACAAACAAACAAACAAUCUAAAGAUAAAAUUCCUGUUGUAGUUCAUAAUGGUACAGUUAAGUGUUGUCAAAUGUAGCACCUUGUCUCUCUUAAAGAAUCAGACUCAGA